AGUCACACCGCUGUCUCAGCCGGGUAAUUGAUAUCCAAGCGGUGCGGUGAUCUGUUGAUGGCCGAGCUAAUGUAUGUGGAUAGUACUUGUCGACAAACUUAAUUAAAUUACUUUUCCGACAGCACCGGAUCACCAUGCAGUGCAGUGUGAUACAACAGUUCCGAUUCCGAGUUUGAACUGAACUUGCAUUUGAUACAACUUGCCCCUGGUGUGGAGCAGCCAUUGACGUCAUCAGUGAAGGGUGCCGUGACGUCAUCAGUGGAACGGGUCGUGACAUCAUCAGUGGCUGCUUUCUCGGGCAGACCCUGACAGGUGGACCUCACAUGACGCGACAGUUCUUGCUUCAGAGUGAAGGCUUGUCCGCAUUUCACACAUCUAAAAAUCGAUCAAGUUCGUAGAAGCGACACACGCCACAGCGGAAGGGCGCCUCACGUGCCACUGCGAUGGCAUGCGCCUGCGUCAUGCGGCGUGCGGCCUGCGGCUUAGAUGCGGCGCGCCGCAAGUGGAAACG